UACGUAGGGUGCAAGCGUUGUCCGGAAUUAUUGGGCGUAAAGCGUCCGCAGGUGGACAUACAAGUCUGCUGUCAAAGUGCAGAGCUUAACUCUGUAAAGGCGGUGGAAACUGUAGGUCUUGAGUAUGGUAGGGGUAGAGGGAAUUCCCGGUGUAGCGGUGAAAUGCGUAGAUAUCGGGAAGAACACCAGUGGCGAAAGCGCUCUACUGGGCCAUAACUGACACUGAGGGACGAAAGCUAGGGGAGCGAAAGGG
rnacentral:rRNA from 1 species